rnacentral:lncRNA from 1 species
AACAGAAACAAGAGAAGAAAGAACUCCAAACACUCCACUAAUGGCAGAUUGCAUGUGCAAGGUUUCUCCCUCCUUUGGACUGCACGGCACUACUUCUUUCUCCUUCAAUGGUGUCUGCACGAGGUGGUGAUGGUGGUGGAAAGGUGCGGCUGUGGUGGAUGAAUGGUUAUUUGAAUAGGGUAGAAGGGUUAAGGGGAUUAGGGGGCACGGCAGAGACUUAGAACUAGGGAGAAUGAUGUGGUGGUUGCGGCAAGGCUUAGGGUAGAUUUCUGGAGAGAAUGGAUGAUAUGGGAUGUGGUAUAUUUUCGGCCAAAGCUUUAAAGGAGUAUAUCUAGGCACUUAAAAACCCUAGCAAUCAGAUUAGAGUUUCUAGAAGCCCAAAUCCAACAGAAAAUAGGUUAAAACAAUCAGAUUUUGCAUGGGAAAAGGCCUAGGGUUCGGCUGGUUUAGUGGGCUAAGGUUAAGGCUUCUAGAAUGCCUUGCAAGGCAAGGAAAUUAGGUAUUUAAAACCCUAGGUGAGGCAUAGGAUUAGGGAGAUCAGAUUUGGAAAUGGGCUAGGGUUUAGGUGCGGCAUAUGGUGAAUGAUAGGAGCAUAUUUAUGCGCCUUAGUUAGCUAGUUCUUAUGCAUUUUUGUUAUGUUUUCUUUGUUAAAGUAGUCUUU